UACGUAGGGUGCAAGCGUUAUCCGGAAUUAUUGGGCGUAAAGAGCUCGUAGGCGGUCUGUCGCGUCGGCUGUGAAAACUCGGGGCUCAACCCCGAGCCUGCAGUCGAUACGGGCAGACUAGAGUGCGGUAGGGGAGACUGGAAUUCCUGGUGUAGCGGUGAAAUGCGCAGAUAUCAGGAGGAACACCGGUGGCGAAGGCGGGUCUCUGGGCCGUAACUGACGCUGAGGAGCGAAAGCGUGGGGAGCAAACAGG
rnacentral:rRNA from 1 species